rnacentral:rRNA from 1 species
AUGUUUAGCCGUGAUGCGUGCAUGAGCCUGUUUAUUAAUCCGCUCUCCCUCUCUCUCUCCCCCUCUCUCUUUCAUUUUCUUAUUAUUACUUUAUUAUUUUCUCUUUCGACACAAGCGAAGCUAUGUCAGUUGGACACGCGCUCGGAAAUCCUAUCUACACCUCUCGCGCGGGUGACGGGUGUUAUUUGGCCCGACACUCUGCUCUCUCCCUCCAUCCAACCUUAUCUUCUCAGUCGGCUGCCCUCAACCUUGUCUUCCCCGGUCGCCCCCCACGCGUUCUUCUCCACAUACAUGCGCAGAACUCCCACAACGCCCACCCAUCCCCUCCCUCCUUCCCAGCUCUGGAUCCAGAUGGAAUCGAGGCCACAACCGAGCGUCUCCUCAUGGCCUCUUCACGAGCUCCAACUGCCGCCUGGAGCUCAAGCUGCCAGCCGUCCAAGGCCUCGCCAGGAACGGACCCGCGACACCGUGCCUCGUCCUCGCACAUGCCCGGCCGCGCCAUCGAGCCCCCCGCAGGUUGCCUGCCCGUCGCCCUCACCUUCACUCUUCUUCCCCUUUCAAUUCUGCUCUAUCCUCUCUGAAUAUCUCCCCCUCUCUCUCUGUUCAAGUGUAGAGGCAGUGCUCCGCCACCCGAUGCUGUUCUUCGCGUCGCCCCACGCUCCCAAAGCUGGGAACCGGCUCCCCGCCUCCAAGUUCUCGGCAUCGACGUCCCGUGCUGCCUGCACCCUCGCCAAGCCCGACUCGCAGCCGUGGAGCCCGAGCUCGCCAAGGCGCUUCAACUCCGCCGCCGCGCCAUCUUCUUCAGGCGCUCGAGCACGAGCACAAGCUCGCCCGCGCCCCACCUCUCUCUGCCGCUCCGUCCGCCGCCCGUGGUGCCGUGACCCGCCACUGCCGUGCCCUGCAUCGCUCUGUAGCCGCGCCGCCUGGGUCGAUGCGGUCAGCGCUCCCAAGCCGUUGACCCUGCGCCAGGGGACGACCAUUUCCUCCCAUGCGUGCGCGCCCGUGCUCCAGCCCUCCCCUCCCCAUGCUGCCGGCACACUCGCGCCACGGGGCCGUAUCCAGCCUGUGCCUGGACGACGGAAGCCCCCCCACUGUCCGUGCGCUCCGGCCAGCUCCCUGUCGCGCUCGAGACCUCCUCUAGUCUUCCCGCCGAGGCCUUCCCUGUGA